rnacentral:rRNA from 1 species
UUUCCUGUGGUUGGUGUGAUUGCGGAGGUCAUUGCUAUUGGGGUCCGAUUUAGCCAUGCUAGUUGCACGAGUUCAUACUCGUGGCGAAAAGCUCAGUAACACGUGGCCAAAUUACCCUACAGAGAACGAUAACCUCGGGAAACUGAGGCUAAUAGUUCAUACGGGAGUCAUGCUGGAAUGCCGACUCCCCGAAACGCUCAGGCGCUGUAGGAUGUGGCUGCGGCCGAUUAGGUAGACGGUGGGGUAACGGCCCACCGUGCCGAUAAUCGGUACGGGUUGUGAGAGCAAGAGCCCGGAGACGGAAUCUGAGACAAGAUUCCGGGCCCUACGGGGCGCAGCAGGCGCGAAACCUUUACACUGCACGCAAGUGCGAUAAGGGGACCCCAAGUGCGAGGGCAUAUAGUCCUCGCUUUUCACGACUGUAAGGCGGUCGUGGAAUAAGAGCUGGGCAAGACCGGUGCCAGCCGCCGCGGUAAUACCGGCAGCUCAAGUGAUGACCGAUAUUAUUGGGCCUAAAGCGUCCGUAGCCGGCCACGAAGGUUCAUCGGGAAAUCCGCCAGCUCAACUGGCGGGCGUCCGGUGAAAACCACGUGGCUUGGGACCGGAAGGCUCGAGGGGUACGUCCGGGGUAGGAGUGAAAUCCCGUAAUCCUGGACGGACCACCGAUGGCGAAAGCACCUCGAGAAGACGGAUCCGACGGUGAGGGACGAAAGCUAGGGUCUCGAACCGGAUUAGAUACCCGGGUAGUCCUAGCUGUAAACGAUGCUCGCUAGGUGUGGCACAGGCUACGAGCCUGUGCUGUGCCGUAGGGAAGCCGAGAAGCGAGCCGCCUGGGAAGUACGUCCGCAAGGAUGAAACUGAAAGGAAUUGGCGGGGGGAGCACUACAACCGGAGGAGCCUGCGGUUUAAUUGAUCACCCCCCCGGAA